UACGUAGGGUGCAAGCGUUGUCCGGAAUUAUUGGGCGUAAAGAGCUCGUAGGCGGUCUGUCGCGUCGGCUGUGAAAACUCGGGGCUCAACUCCGAGCUUGCAGUCGAUACGGGCAGGCUAGAGUUCGGCAGGGGAGACUGGAAUUCCUGGUGUAGCGGUAGAAAUGCGCAGAUAUCAGGAGGAACACCGGUGGCGAAGGCGGGUCUCUGGGCCGAUACUGACGCUGAGGAGCGAAAGCGUGGGGAGCGAACAGG
rnacentral:rRNA from 1 species